AUUGAACGCUGGCGGCAGGCCUAACACAUGCAAGUCGAACGGUAACAGGAAGAAGCUUGCUUCUUUGCUGACGAGUGGGGGACGGGAGUGUAAUGUCUGGGAAACUGCCUGAUGGCUGGGGAUAACUACUGGAAACGGUAGCUAAUACCGCAUAACUUCUCAACACCAAGGUGCAGUACUUUCGGGCCGCUUUCCAUCGGAUUUUCCCAGGUGGGGUUAGCUUGUUGGUGGGGUAACGGCUCACCAAGGCGACGAUCCCUAGCUGGUCUGAGAGGAUGACCAGCCACACUGGAACUGAGACACGGUCCAGACUCCUACGGGAGGCAGCAGUGGGGAAUAUUGCACAAUGGGCGCAAGCCUGAUGCAGCAAUGCCGCGUGUAUGAAGAAGGCCUUCGGGUUGUAAAGUACUUUCAGCGGGGAGGAAGGAAGUAAAGUUAAUACCUUCGCUCCUUGACGUUACCCGAAGAAGAAGCCACGGCUAACUCCGUG
rnacentral:rRNA from 1 species